GCCUGAUGCAGUAGUUCUGUGGCAUUGUCUUCAUACGGGACGGACUCUAGUUGAUGAAGAAGCAUCUGAACUGAGACGAGCUACUAGUAACCGAAGAUGUCUUGGAACACAAUGUCUGUCCUGUUCGUGGUUCUGAUAUUGAGUGGAGCUGCCAUGAGUUUCCCUCGAGAGAAGCGGGCCUGCCAUAUCGUUAUAAACGAGUGUGUGACGGCUGACGGUCUGGAUUGUGACACCAGUCCCCUGGACCCUUGCCUGUGUAAAACGGAGACUAUCUGUGUGAAUCCAGAAUGCCCACCUGACUCUAUUUCCUGCAUUGGGUGAUGCUAAUCUGCCAGCUGAGUACGGUGACAUAUGGUCGUUGGCUGCUUCAACUGACUAGGUGGUUGUUUUUUCGGCAUUGGGCGGCGAAGUAGUCCACGUAGAGGAGAUAUCGCAGGCUAUGUGAUACAUUUUGUAAUAACGUUAACGCCCCGCCUUCAAACCACCGAAUGAGCGUAUUAUCACACCUGACCAGGGAUUAUCUCACCAUAUACACCUCGUGGCGAGACAUUAACCCUUUAUGCUUUAUUUGCAAAAUCAUGCCCAAAGGCUGU